rnacentral:tRNA from 1 species
GCCUGGUUGGCUUAGUCAGUACAGCAUAGGACUCUUGAUCUCAGGGUCGUGAGUUCAAGCCCCAUGUUGGGCA